UCAGAUUCUCCCCAGACACCGAGGAUGCGGUCAUGGUGCCCCGAACCCUCCUCCUGCUGCUCUCGGGGGCCCUGGCCCUGACCCAGACCCGGGCGGGCUCCCACUCCCUGAGGUAUUUCGACACCGCCGUGUCCCGGCCCGGCCGCGGGGAGCCCCGGUACAUCUCCGUGGGCUACGUGGACGACACGCAGUUCGUGCGGUUCGACAGCGAUGCCGCGAUUCCGAGGAUGGAGCCGCGGGCGGCGUGGAUGGAGAAGGUGGGGCCGGAGUAUUGGGAGGAGCAGACACGGAGAGCCAGGGCGAGGCACAGAUUCACGGAGUGAGCCUGCGGAUCCGGAUCCUGCUCCGCUACUACAACCAGAGCGAGGCCGGGUCUCACACCCUCCAGGAGUUGUAUAGCUGCGACCUGGGGUCCAAUGGGCGUUUCCUCUGGGGGUAUGACCAGCACGCCUACAACGGCAAGGCAAGGAUUACAUCGCCCUGAAGGAGGACCUGCGCUCCUGGAUAGCUGCAGAAAGGGCAGCUCAGAUCACCAAACGCAAGUGGGAGGCGGCCGUAGAAAGGAGAGGACAAGAGCCUACCUGGAGGGUGGAUGCCUGGAGUCGCUCCGCAGACACCUGGAGAACAGGAAGGAAGGAGACGCUGCAGCACACCCACCAAAGACACAUGUGACCCAUCACCCUGUCUCUGACCAUGAGGCCACCCUGAGGUACUGGGCCCUGGGCUUUUACCCUGCUGAGAUCACACUGACUUGGCAGCGGGAUGGGGAAGAGCAGACUCAGGACACUGAGCUUGUGGAGGCCAGGCCAGCAGGGGAUGGAACCUUCCAGAAGUGGGCAGCUGUGCUGGUGCCUUCUGGAGAAGAGCAGAGAUACACAUGCCAUGUGCAGCACAAGGGGCUUCCCGAACCCCUCACCCUGAGAUGGAAGCCACCUUUGCAGCCCACCAUCCCCAUCGUGGGCGUCGUUGCUGGCCUGGUUGUCCUAGGAGCCAUGGUCGCUGGAGCUGUGGUCACUGCUGUGAUGUGGAAGAGGAAAAGCCCAGGUGGAAAAAGUGGGAGCUACUCUCAGGCUGCAUAUAAUGACAGUGCCCAGGGCUCUAAUGUGUCUCUCACGGCUUAUAAAGGUGAGACCCUGGCUUGUGUGGGACUGAGAUGCAGGAUUUCCUCACACCUCCCCUUUGUGACUUCAAGAGCCUCUGGCAUCUCUUUCUGCAAAGGCAUCUGAAUGUGUCUGUGUCCCUGUUAGCAUAAUGUGAGGAGGUGGAGAGACAGCCCACCCCGUAUCCACCAUGACCCCUGUCCCCACGCUGACCUGUGUUCCCUCCCCAGUCAUCUUUCCUAUUCCAGAAAGGUGGGGCUUGUGUCUCCAUCUCUGUCUCAACUUCAUGGUGCACUGAGCUGCAACCUCUUACUUCCCUACUGAAAAUAAGAAUCUGAAUAUAAA